AUGAGACUCAGCCUCCUCAUCAUUGCCGCGAUGGCCGUCCUAAGCACCGCGUCGGCAGCAGUCUACAAUGUUGGCGAACCGGGCGGCGCGUGGGACCUUACCACCAACUACGGCACCUGGGUAUCCUCCAGGAAGUUCCAACUCAGCGACCAGAUCGUCUUCAAGUACUCCCCUCAGGCGCAUGACGUCCUUGAAGUUAGCAAGGCCGACUACGACUCUUGCAGCAUCGUCAACCCUAUUGCGACCCUCAACUCCGGGAACGACAUCGUCACCCUCACCGCCGCUGGCACCCGCUACUUCAUUUGUGGGUUCCCUGGCCACUGCACUAGUGGCAUGAAGAUCAAGAUCGACGUCGUGCCUAGCUCCUCCUCACCAUCACCCGCCCCGGCUAGCGGCCCCAAUGCAAGCAACGCUCCUCCAACCACGCCUGUCUCUACCGCCACCUCCGUGAAGGCCACGGGGUUUGGCCUCGCCAUCCUGCUUGCCUUUAUCGGUUUCAUGGCUUGA
rnacentral:rRNA from 1 species